rnacentral:rRNA from 1 species
UUGACGGGGACCCGCACAAGCAGCGGAGCGUGUGGUUUAAUUCGUUGCUACACGAAGAACCUUACCUGGGUUUGACAGUUAUAGGGUUGUAGGGGAACUGAAAAGGGACGACCCUUCGGGGAGCCUAUACAGGUGUUGCAUGGCUGUCGUCAGCUCGUGUCGUGAGAUGUUCGGUUAAGUCCGCUAACGAGCGCAACCCUCGUCGUAUGUUAUAUGUGUCACACGGGACUGCCGGUUUUAAGCCGGAGGAAGGCGAGGAUGACGUCAAGUCAGCAUGGCCUUUAUAUCUUGGGCUACACACACGCUACAAUGGUCUGUACAAUAGGUUGCCAAACCGCGAGGUGGAGCCAAUCCUUAAAGCAGGCCUCAGUUCAGAUUGUAGGCUGCAACCCGCCUGCAUGAAGAUGGAGUUGCUAGUAACCGCAGGUCAGCUAUACUGCGGUGAAUACGUUCCCGGGUCUU